GAAAGAGUGCGUAAUAGCUCACUAGUCGAGCGACUGUGCGCCGAUAAUACUCGGGACUUCAAGCAUACUACCGAAAUCGCGGACUUAGCAAUAAGUGGUAGGGGAGCAUUCUAUGGGCGGUGAAGCUGUGCUGUGAGGCAUGGUGGAGCGCAUAGAAGAGCAAAUGUUGGCAUUAGUAGCGAGAACGGAAGUGAGAAUCUUCCGCGCCGAAAGUCUAAGGUUUCCUGAGCUCCGUUCGUCGACUCAGGGUUAGGCGGCCCCUAAGGCGAGGCCGAAA
rnacentral:rRNA from 1 species